rnacentral:lncRNA from 1 species
CUUUCUUCUUUGUGGCCCAAAUUGAAGAGGACACUGGAUUCCUCUGAUGGAGUUCUGCUCCCUAGAGCUGAUGCUGCAGAUGCUGCUCUCAGGGUCCUUGGGCUUGCCCCCAGCCAAUGGGAAAGAGAGGUCAAGACUGUGCUCAGCUUGGUGGACCUGAGACAUCGAGGAUCCUUCUGAAAGGAUGGCCUGAGGCUUGGAGCGUCAGAGGAAGUCUGGGGCCAACUCUGCCUCUCUGAGCUUCAGUUUUCUCUUCUCUGCAACAAGAGCAUUGGGCUGUAUAAUCCCUAGAAGGAGACCCUUCUGCUCAGCUGGAAGCUACUUUUGCAUAAUUCACACACAAAAAAACUUGAUACGCUCAUGAAUAGUGUUGCUGUGAUGAUGGAAGAAUCAUUUCCAUGACACCGGGCUGCCUCUCAUCAAAUGCCUUUCAGAUUCAAGCAACAAAGAUGGAGCUCCCUCUUCCUGCCAGGCACCCCCCC